UUCAUAAUUAGUCAAACAGGUGCUAGUUUUCGUAAACGCUAGCUUAAUAGGGAAGUUGGUGAGAAACCAACGCGGUCCCGCCACUGUAAAUGAGAGCAACCUACUAUUGUCACUGUCUUAUAUUAAGAUGGGAAGACGUAGGAAGCGAUGACCAUGAGCCAGGAAACCUGCCUGUUAUGUCAGCACCAU
rnacentral:ncRNA from 2 species